rnacentral:lncRNA from 1 species
UGAAUAUGAAAUGAGGUUGUUGUUGUUGUUGAUAACAACAUUGAGACGAGAUGAUGUUUAUGUUGAGAAUGAUGUGAAAAUGGAAUGUUGAUUGAUGUUGGAAAUGCAUUGGCAUGUGCAUGUUGUGUAUGUUCGUGGGGGGCGAAGUGCACUGACCUUCCAGGGUCUUUGGCACUUGCUUUAGGCCAUGUUCAUACGUUGAAUGUUGUGUAUGUUCAUGGGGGGCGAAGUGCAUGACCUUCCAGGGUCUUUGGCAUUUUCUUUGGGCCACGUUCAUACGUUGUAUGUAGUGUAUGU